UAGAAACAACAGGCCAGCAGGAGCAGCUAUCAGAGCAGUUUGCCAUUUCCUGUUGUCCUGAUCUCUCUUGUGGAUACUGGUGCAGGGGAACCAGGAGUGCAAUACUGUUGCUUCCAUCCCAAAGGCCACCUGGACAAUCAGGAUGAAUCCCACUGAGUGUCAACAAGCAAUAUUCUACUGCUAUGAAGGGAUGCUUCAUUUUAGCUUGACAGAUAGAAAUCAGAGCCUUUCAAUGGAAUGUGCACAGAUGGUGUGUGGCUUAUGCCUUGAAGACAGGAAACAUGAACUUAUCCAGCGAAGACAGAAAACAUGAACUUCAGCUUUUUAGAAAGAAAAGCAGUUGUUGAUGGCAUGUGCAGAUAAGAAGCAGGUGUGCAAUGUGCACAGUGAGGUGGAGUCUCAAAGACUUCUUGAGCUUCUCACCAAAAUAUGAAUGACUGAAAAUAUUGUCACUACUUUCAAAAACUUGCAUAUUUGCUUAGUUUAUCCUAUGGUGAGAAAUUGCAGGCUUGAAGCCAA